GCUCAGGAUGAACGCUGGCGGCGUGCUUAACACAUGCAAGUCGAACGAUGAAGCCCAGCUUGCUGGGUGGAUUAGUGGCGAACGGGUGAGUAACACGUGAGUAACCUGCCCCUGACUCUGGGAUAAGCCCGGGAAACUGGGUCUAAUACCGGAUAUGACUUUUGACCGCAUGGUUGAGGGUGGAAAGAUUUAUCGGUUGGGGAUGGACUCGCGGCCUAUCAGCUUGUUGGUGAGGUAAUGGCUCACCAAGGCGACGACGGGUAGCCGGCCUGAGAGGGUGACCGGCCACACUGGGACUGAGACACGGCCCAGACUCCUACGGGAGGCAGCAGUGGGGAAUAUUGCACAAUGGGCGCAAGCCUGAUGCAGCGACGCCGCGUGAGGGAUGACGGCCUUCGGGUUGUAAACCUCUUUCAGUAGGGAAGAAGCGAAAGUGACGGUACCUGCAGAAGAAGCGCCGGCUAACUACGUGCCAGCAGCCGCGGUAAUACGUAGGGCGCAAGCGUUAUCCGGAUUUAUUGGGCGUAAAGAGCUCGUAGGCGGUUUGUCGCGUCUAUCGUGAAAGUCCGAGGCUCAACCUCGGAUCUGCGGUGGGUACGGGCAGACUAGAGUGAUGUAGGGGAGACUGGAAUUCCUGGUGUAGCGGUGAAAUGCGCAGAUAUCAGGAGGAACACCGAUGGCGAAGGCAGGUCUCUGGGCAUUUACUGACGCUGAGGAGCGAAAGCAUGGGGAGCGAACAGGAUUAGAUACCCUGGUAGUCCAUGCCGUAAACGUUGGGCACUAGGUGUGGGGGACAUUCCACGUUUUCCGCGCCGUAGCUAACGCAUUAA
rnacentral:rRNA from 1 species